AUGAUAUGAAGCAUGGUGGAGGCAGCAUCAUGAUGUGAAGCACGGUGGUGGCAGCAUCAUGAUGUGAUUCUUCUCUGGCUAAUCUCUGAAUCUCCUCCAGGGCUGAUGGAAUCACGACAUACCAGAUCAUUGUCCACACCUCAUAUCUUUGUUAGGAGACAGUCUGUGUUUGACCUGAUGGGGUUCAUUAACAGCUUCUGUUGACGGGGUUGGUGAGGAGGAUGAUGAUGAUGAUGAUGAUGACAUCACUGGAGGUGGGCUGUAUUGAUCUGAGAAUGUAGACACUAAAAAGAGCACUGGAGAGCUAGUAGCUGAUUAAACAAGUGAGCUCUAUCUUUGUUAGUGUGUGUGCAUGUGUAGAAGAAGAAACAUUUUUUGUAAACAGCUGUAACUUUCCAGCCUGACAUGUGUGUAUCCAUCAGAGCUUGCAGUUAGAGCUUAGCUCCAUGUCUUCCCUUUUAAAGGUUAAGCUCAGCUCAUGCAUUCAUUGCACAUUAAAUGGUUAUUAUUAUCAAUAUAACACUCAUAUGUAAUAUCAAUUUCAGUGUUCAGUUAGUAGUACCUUUGUAAGAUAAAGAAUCCUAACACCAGACUUACUGGCUCUUGAGAGGGACUCACCCUAACCCACCCACAGGAUGCUCACUUCACUUUAUCAGUCAUCUUUCAAGAAAACAUCUUGCAUAAUCUACUGCUGCAAAACCUCCUCACAGAACCGUCUGUUGUUGAAGGAAACUAAAGACAUCAAAGACAAUCUGCUGAGAAGCUGCAGCAGAUCUACACUUGAAGACAAAACUUUCAGCCUCGCUGUAAAAUUUUAGGGUUUUUCGUAAAAUUCUCAUGUGCUGUUAAACAGAUGAAGGAGUUUUGAACAGCUUUUCCAGACAUCCUGGUUUUGUUUUGGAUGCUUACAUUAUUUUACUUUACACACAGAAACUAAAUGAUUUAAGAAAAAUGGAGCAGCUGCUCCUUUGCCCCUUGAUGCCCAGAGUGCCCUGUUGUCAAAGUAGUUUUUUUAUUUGUAAGUGUGUGUGAAAGUGUAGCUCUAAAAUAAUAAUUAAAACAAAGAUAAUAAUAAUUGAGAUGUACUCUCGGUGGGUCACAUGAUCCACGUAGACGUCCCUCGCUGCCCUGAGAGGCUGAGAUGUUCCCUGUAGCUCAGCGCUAGCACUGUUGGUGUAGAAACCAAAGACAUGAGGGAGGAGGUGAGAAGGUUUCACAGUGGUACUCGUUUGUGUACGGCGUAUUUUACAUGACAAACGAAGUGAAGUGAGCAUCCUGUGUGUGUCUGACUCCUCUCUCUGGCACACCUCUCAUCACUUAUAGUUGCUGGUUAACCACAAACCAUUCUAUGUUUCAGUUGUUCGGUGCUUUAGAGAGAUGAAUCCCUUUCCUGUCAGUGAGCGGCAGUGAGUUUCCUGUUUCUAGAAGCUCUGAAAGGCAGCGGAUCACUCACAGCUGGAUGAUAAAGAGCUCUAAAGGUAGCAUCUGUUUACAUCACACAGGUGUUAGUCAGAGAAAACUACAAUAACAAGCACAGGUUCAACGUUGUCGUUGUGUUACAUUAUCUGUUAUUAUGUAUGGUGGCUUUUUUAUUGAUCAGGUGUAAGAGACAUUCAUUGGAUUAAUCCAAGAGCAAAUUAUGCUUUGCUUGGUUGCAUUUGGUUUUACUGAGGUUAGAAAACACAGAUAAAGCUGUGAAAUUAAAAUAAAGAGGUGUCACAUUUGUUCCAUUUUUGCCCUGCAGUUUUAUUUCAACUUAUAAAGCAAAGACUAAAGGAAGAGCAGCCACAGUUAAACAGUUCAGUGUCUAAUGGUGAUCUGAAUUCAACUUCAUACACUUUCUUCCUAUGACCUAGAUUAAUGCACAACUUGAAUUAUGGCUUUGUGGAUACAGGCUGUACCUCCAAAGGUCUGUGCACGGCCCUGUUGCUAACUCUCAUUAAGUGAGUGUGUUGGGAGCUGAUUUAGUUCAAUUUACUUUUAUUUAUAUAGCGCCAAUUACAGGUCAGAUUCUCUGAAGACACUUUACAGAACCCAUGUGAACCCCAGAGCAGCCCUAAGGAGACAGUGGCAAGAAAAACACCCUUUUAACGGGAAGAAACCUGGAGCAGAACCCGGCUUUUUAUGUGGGGGAACCCAUCUGCUGCUGGCCGGACGGGUUGAGAGGGACAGAAGAGGUAGAGAGAUAGAGAUAGAGGGAUGGAGGUAGAGGGGGGAGGGGAACAAGGACCAUGUAACACACAGUUGGAUACAUGCGAUGCAGAGUAGAUUGAUGGAAAUGGGCAGCUGGAAGCAGUGGGCUGGAGGAAGGUCAGCAGCAGCAGCAUCCCACAGAUGGAGAUUAGGCCAGUUGGUGGGAGAACCACCACAGAUCUGAAGCAUCCAGCUCUGGGAUCAGGGACACUCGGAGAAAGGACACAGGGAGAAACAGAGUGAGUGUAAUGCAAUAAUGGUAUAUAUAUAUUAAAUAUAAUGGUAGAUAGAGAAGGGCUCAGUGCAUCCAGAGAGGUCCUCCAGCAGCCUAGGCCUGUAGCAGCAGAACUAGGGGCAAACUAAGGGACGUCCAAGAGGAAGACUCCAGCUGACCCCCUCAGGAUCCCCCAGUCAGUCCUAACUAUAAGAUUUGUCAAAAAGGAAGGUUUUAAGCCUGGUCUUAAAAUUAGAGAGGGUGUCCGCCUCCAGAACCCAAACUGGGAGCUGGUUCCACAAGAGAGGAGCUGAUAACUGAAGGCUCUGCCUCACAUUCUACUUUUAGAGAGAAGUUACAGGUCACUUCUCCAAGUAAGCCUGCAGUCUGAGAGCGAAGAGUUCUGCUAGGAUAAAGACAUGAUAGUACCAUUAUCAGGUAGGUCUAUAAGAUAUGAUGGAGAUUGGUUGUUAAGAGCUUUAUAUGUCAGAAGAAGGAUUUUGAAUUCUAUUCUAGAUUUCACAGGUGUGUCCAAAGUGAUUUAAAAUGCUCCAAAAUCACAACUGUGUAUAAAAUAACUUAGAUUUGGUCCAAAAUCACUUAAAAUUCAUUCCAAAUUAUUUCACUUUGGUCCAAAAUUACAUAACAUUUGUCCACAGUUAAAAUUUGUCCAAAUGACAAUAAAUGCGUUUAAAUUUUAUUUCCAAAAUGACUUGGAAAUUGUCCAAAACUACUUAAACUCAUCUCAGAUGAACUAGAACAGUCCAGUCACGCAGUUAGAAGUCUCUGUUCUGGUUUCCGUACGUGGGUGUGCCGCAUGUAAAGUGGAGCGCAUGCACAAAGUGCAGCUGCAGUAGCAUCACUGCUUCAGUCGACAGUCGUGUGCCGGAGCUGCAUCAUCCAGAGAACUUCUGCUGAACUCAGGUGGCUCUGAGAAAUGGUGGAACCUGAAGAGAACCUAACCGGCGUCUGGACAAAGAUCUGAAGGAAAACAGUUCUGUGCAGGUUUUCCACUUGCCUCAUUGUGUGACUGAAGAUCCGGUCGGAGCCUCUGAACCUGCAGAGACUGAUGGGAGGACGACUGAAACCACCUGAUGUCUACCUGAAGUGGCAAAGUGCAUCUCAACCUUCUCUGCUUGUCUUUUUGAUUAACUUAGAAAUGUUUUGUGUUUAAUUAUCAGAAUAUUUUUCUAAAUGGUGAAGAGAAUAUCAGGGUUAAAACAGAUCAGCCUGCAGUCUGCAUGGAAAGAUACUUCUGUUCAAACUCACUAAAGCAUUCUGCUCACAAAACUUUCACUCUUCAUACAGAUUAAUUAUGUCUAAAACCAGAUUCACCCCGAGCCAGAGAUGGUUUAUUCCUGCACAGAUCAAUUAUGACGUCAAAUGUCCUCCAAUCCUGGAACGACCCAUAUGUCAAAAAUGACUUGAAAUUCAUUCCAAUUGACAGAACAUGUGUCCAGAGUUGAAAUUUGCUCAGAAUUAUUCAGAAGUCAUUCAAAAUUACUUAGGAUGGUCUAAAAUGAUUUGAAACUUGUCCAAAAUUACUUAAAUGAUCCAAAAUUAUUUAAAAUGUGUCCAGAAUUACACAAAAGGGUCCGAAAUAUACUUGAAAAUUGUCAAAUAUGAUUUUAAGCUCAUCUUAAAUUACAUAAAAUGGUUCAAAAUUGCUUAAAAUUUGUUUAAAAUACAUAAAGGUUUGUUCAAAUUGACUCAGAAUGUGCCCAAACUGAUUUAAAACUCAUCCAAAGUGACUUAAAAUGGUCCAAAGUUAUUUAAAAUUUGUCCAAAAUGACCCAGAUCUCAUUCAAAAUUACUUAGGAUGAGUUUUAAGUCAUUUUGGGCAGAUUUCGAUUUAUUUUGUACCAGUUUUAAAGAUUUACUCCAAAUAUGUUUGAACAUCUUCAGAUGGAAUUAAUUUACUGUUUGUGUUUCCUGAAAGCAGAAAGUCUAUUUAUGAAAGCUGCAGGAAGAAAACAGACAAAACAUAACAUUUUAAGUCCAGUUUUACUAAAACUGACAGCAAAAUGUAGUUUUUGUGCCAUUUAUGCUGCACGAAUUUAAAUAACUCUACUUGUAGAAUGACUGGGGUGAUUUUGUAGAAAGAAAAAAUAAAAAAUGAUCCAAAAAUAAGAAAAAGAAACACUGAUAGGCCCUGUGAACGACGUUCAGAUAUUUGUCUUUUGCUCAAACAGCAUUAGAAAAUAGUUUUAUUUCACAUCACGAUGUCAAACUAAACAUCACACAGCUUCAAUAUUUAUCUGCUUCUCUGACCACUGAGCAGCGUUCAGUGAUUAAUUAUUUAUUUUCAGCUUUUUUAAGGAACAUUUUUGUUGUCAGUUCUGAUGUAGCCACCUCUAUGCUCCGCCCACAGCGCCAUCUGAUUGGUUAAACGGCGUCAGAAACAGCCAAUAAACACUGAAAGAUAAAUGUUCUCAGUGACAUUAACAAUAAAGACAUUUCAACAGA